GACUUUAUAUUUUAUAUAAAAUAAUAAACUGCAAAUUUAGAAAAAUAAAAUUUAUUUUUAUUAAAGUCU
rnacentral:tRNA from 1 species